rnacentral:rRNA from 1 species
GACGAACGCUGGCGGCGUGCUUAACACAUGCAAGUCGUACGGUAAGGCCCUUUCGGGGGUCCACGAGUGGCGAACGGGUGAGUAACACGUGAGUAACCUGCCCACAACUUUGGGAUAACGCUAGGAAACUGGUGCUAAUACUGGAUAUGUGCUCCUGCUGCAUGGUGGGGGUUGGAAAGCUCCGGCGGUUGUGGAUGGACUCGCGGCCUAUCAGCUUGUUGGUGGGGUAGUGGCCUACCAAGGCGGCGACGGGUAGCCGGCCUGAGAGGGUGACCGGCCACAUUGGGACUGAGAUACGGCCCAGACUCCUACGGGAGGCAGCAGUGGGGAAGAUUGCACAAUGGGCGCAAGCCUGAUGCAGCAACGCCGCGUGCGGGAGGACGGCCUUCGGGUUGUAAACCGCUUUCAGCAGGGACGAAGCUUUUUGUGACGGUACCUGCAGAAGAAGCACCGGCUAACUACGUG